rnacentral:rRNA from 1 species
UUUAUUGGAGAGUUUGAUCCUGGCUCAGGACGAACGCUGGCGGCGUGCCUAAUACAUGCAAGUCGAGCGGACUUCUUAAAAGCUUGCUUUUAAGAAGUCAGCGGCGGACGGGUGAGUAACACGUGGGCAACCUGCCUGUGAGACUGGGAUAACUUCGGGAAACCGGAGCUAAUACCGGAUAAUAUAAGGAACCUCCUGGUUCUUUAUUGAAAGA